ensembl:snRNA
GCGCUGUAUGAAAGGAGAAGUUAGCACUCCCCUUGACAAGGAUGGAAGAGGCCCUUGGGCCUGACAACAUGCAUACAGUUGAGGCAUUGCUGCCUAGUUCGUGGCAUCUGACCACUUUUUUUG